GUGCCCUGUGGAGAGAGAGAGGACAUGAGGGGUGAGCAGGUGGGUGCCCCGUUAUGGGGGUGGCACAACAGGGAUGUGCUCCAUAGCAUCUGCAGGAAGGAUCAUUGGAAGCUAAAGGGCUGGAGCCCAUGAUUUCCAUUCAGUGACUUAUUGUAGUCCUUCCAGCUUCCUUUAAGUCCUCAUGGGGAGUCUCAGCACCUCCUUACCUCACCCAGUUUGUCCAGUUUAACAUAGGUCUCCAGCUUCCCAAACCCGAUAUCCGACUGUAAGAGAAAAAGGACAACGUCACUGGGAGGGAUCUCACUGGAUGGGGAGCACCAGGAGGGGAUUGCAGUGGGAACAAUCCAUCACAUCCUGCAUGGGAGCCUGUUUGCAUCCAUCAGAACAUCAACACAGCCAACUGCAGCAGCUGAUGCCCUUUGUGUCAGAGCAGCAUGAUGGGACCCUGUGGCAAAGCCCUGCCCUUUGCUUGAGUGCUAUUCUCUUCUCCCCUCCCUCCUCACAAACAGGAAUGUCACAUCUGAAGGUGAUGCUGAGACCUCACUGCUGUGACCGUGUGCUCCCAGGCAGCAGGACUCGCCUUUGCAAUCUGCAAACAGGCCACUGUGGUUUUGCUCCUACAUAUGCUGAUGCUCUGCAGUCAAGAAACUGAAAUGUCAGCAUUAAUGCGAGGGGUAAUUCAUUAUUUAUCCACAUUUGCAUUUCCAUCAGCGGAGGCUCCAGCACUUGGAACACAGCAGGAGGUUCCCCACCUCCGUUUCCCUGGAAGGCUGGGAGAGAAGCCAGGUGUGUGCAAGGUGUAAAACCACAUUGAGCCCAAGGAACCCAGAAAGGAGCAAAAUCAACCAGAGCAAAGUGAAGCACUGAGAAUCCCCCCUGGUCUACAGCAUGAGGAUCACACAUCUUCCCACUGGGUAAUGGUUGGACAAAGACCAGAAGGCAGAGGACAGGCAGCUGCUGCAUGCACUGGUUUGCAGAGGAAGUGCUGUGACCGAAGCCUCAUUAAAGCAGGAGAAGAGGGAAAUUGCCUCUCCAGCAGCUCAGAUGGCACAGUGCAGGUAAUGAGUCCAGGCUCAGCCAGCCCAGCAGUCCCCAGGGGAUAACAGCAGCAGCAGCUGUCAGCACCCGGGGCUUUCUGAGCCUUGCACCAUGUUAUCCCCAUGGCUUCUACAUGUCUAAUUAAGGGCUCGAGUCUAAUUAUAGCCCCAGCUGUUUGCUGGGGUGUGAGCAGAGGGGUGUGAAGCAAAGCUGCUGAGGGCAGCUGGGGUAUCUGUGGGGAUGUGAGGAAUGGCAUGAGCUGCAGGAGAGAGGAAAGGCAGCUCAAAUCAGCCUCUGCAUCUCCUCUUUGAAACAGAGCCCAUCUCUCCAUGCUGGGGCAGGCACAGAUGCCAGGCAGGUACAUCAUGGCCUCAUCCCCUGCUUACAGCAAUUGUGGCUGUGGGACAGCACCAGCAUGACCUGAGUGGAGCCCAGAUUUAACAACACAGUUAAACACAGUCUUGUUAAUCCCACUGCCUCCAUAGGGAGAGCAGCCUUGGGUGGUGGGGCAGCAGCUUU